rnacentral:misc_RNA from 1 species
CGCGUCAGCUCCAGCAAAGCAGACGCCUGCAUAGGCCCAUUUCUUCUUUCCUCGCCGGUGCGACCGCCUCCCCCCUCCUCCCCUGACCCGCUUCACCCCAUCUUAUCCUCUUCACCCGUUACCACAAAGCCUUCCUUUCAUUGAGCACACUGGAGGUGAGCGCACGCACGCGCGAGCGACUUUCUCUCUACCUAUUCGUGUUGCGCGAGGGAUUGGGGGUGUCACACACACACACACGCCUUGCACCUAUCGUGAUUGGAAGAGGGGGGGGGUGAUGACCCAACCUCAUUGAUUCUCUCUCGUUUCCGUUGCGAUCUUCUCCGUCGCUGCCACGUGGACAUCUCUGAGCCUGUUUCCCUCCGUUGGAAGAGGCCGACGCUUGCGUAUUGUGUUUUGCAUGUUUUGUUUUUGUAGUUGUUGGUUGGUUUAGGGCAAGGCUUGGUAUUUUGCCGUUGUGGCUCCGACUUUUCUUCCCUCAACUGCUCGCUCUUCCAUUUGUCUGGUUCACAUGCCUCCAGAUCGCAGUAGCCAACUGGAGGAGCUGCGGCGACAGUUCCCAUCGACCUCCGUCGUCACGGAAAGCGCGCAGGAGACGGUGCUUAAGGUGGAUGAUGUACUGCGCAUCACCCCGAUGACUGAGUAUGCCCUCUCUCUGUACGUGACGCUGCCCUCGUCGUUUCCGAAGGCUGCGCCAAGGGCGACGAUGCCGUAUUGUUGCCACAACGUCCCUAUCACGCCUCCCAAUAUCAACCCCUCCGAGGCACUGGCUUACCAGUGGAGCAGUACCACGUCCACCUUGGUCGAAGCGGUCCGUAACGCGUUUCAGAACGCGGCAGAUUGCUGGGGACCUGUAGAGCCGCCAAGCAUGCGCAGCGUAACACUACAGUUGAGCGGGGAGACGGAUCGCUUACUGCAGGAUCUGGUGACCAACCCAAACUGCCUUGACGCGUACUGCUACCAGCUGCCCAUCGUGAAGCUGAUGCGAGAGGCGAGUCGUCACACCAUCAGUGAAAUCGAGCGAGUUGCGAACGAGAACACGACGCUACGCAACGAGGUGGAGACGCUGGAGGCACAGGUAAAGGACCUGCAGCAGCACCUUGAUGAACAGGUGUCGCAGUUGCAGCAACUGGAGCAGAAUCAACUCCUCCUUUCCGUCGGCACCCCCGAGGCCCUUAUCAAAACCCUCGAGGAUGACGUGCGUAGGAUGAGCAGCGACUGUAUGACGGUGGGAAGGCGCGCCCUGGACGCCUACAAGGCAGACAAGGGUGACUUUCAGGAUUUGUUGAAGCAGUACAAGGCGCAGUCGAAGGCGAUGCACAUGCUUGACUUGAAGCGGCUUUCCUAUCGUGCGCAGUGCGCCGCGAACUGAUGCACAAUCGAAUGAGCUUGAGUGUGAGCGCACAGUUCUGUACGGCGCAGCCAUUCAACACCACUCGCUUACUUCUGUUUUUCCUCCGUCUCUCCCCCCAUAUUCACUCUCCGUGUAUGCCGUGCGUGCUUGUGCGCUGCCCUUGCCUUGUUUUUCGUUUUCUCUUGUGUCUUGGCGGUUUCGCUUCUCGAUUUGUGCCCUACUACCCGAACAAGGACUCAGCAAUCAUGCCAAGACUCCCACACACGCGCGCGCAUAUGUGUUUGUAUGCUGGGAGGGAGGGGGGGGGCGUCGCUCGCGAGCGACUCUCUUCACUGGCACCUCCUUCUUUCUGUUCUCCACGUACACAUCCGGGGCCUCUCUCUGGCUUUCUGCUUUUGUGACCGGAAGGGGUGGAGCAAAGGGUGUCGUCAUCGGUGGUGGCUCUUGUAGGGUGAGCAUGGACACGCACUGCCAUGCCAUGCCCUCCUCUUCUUCUAAACCUACGUCGUGGUAGUCGUAAAGCCCGGAGGGGGGGAUGGGUGCACACGUGUGUGUGUAUGUUCUCUGCC